rnacentral:rRNA from 1 species
GACGAACGCUGGCGGCGUGCCUAAUACAUGCAAGUAGAACGCUGAAGCUUGGUGCUUGCACCGAGCGGAUGAGUUGCGCACGGGUGAGUAACGCGUAGGUAACCUGCCUGGUAGCGGGGGAUAACUAUUGGAAACGAUAGCUAAUACCGCAUAAGAGUAGAUGUUGCAUGACAUUUGCUUAAAAGGUGCAAUUGCAUCACUACCAGAUGGACCUGCGUUGUAUUAGCUAGUUGGUGAGGUAACGGCUCACCAAGGCAACGAUACAUAGCCGACCUGAGAGGGUGAUCGGCCACACUGGGACUGAGACACGGCCCAGACUCCUACGGGAGGCAGCAGUAGGGAAUCUUCGGCAAUGGACGGAAGCCUGACCGAGCAACGCCGCGUGAGUGAAGAAGGGUGUCGGAUCGUAAAGCUCGGUUGUAAGAGAAGAACGAGUGUGAGAGUGGAAAGUUCACACUGUGACGGUAUCUUAACAGAAAGGGACGGCUAACUACGUG